UUUUGCCACUCUGGGGCGAGCCCAGCUUGCCUUCUGAUUCUGAAAUAACACACACGCUGCGCCUAUGUGAAAUAAAUUCUCCCAUGUUCUUAUAUGGAAGCCUUGCGAGUCCUCCCACACCCGCCGCUUGUUACGAUAUCAGGCAGAGAUGGGCACUCGUUAUCUAAAAGCCAGUGGGUGAAAUUCGGAUCCGAAUUACCCCAAGACGACCCCAGAAUGUCCACCCCUUGUUGAGCUCGCUCCCCUGCUCCGUGCAGCCCCUGCGGGUUUUAUUUCCAAGCUCCAAUCGCAACUUUGAUUUCAGCAUGCCCCCCAAAACAGCAAAGUCAAAGGAAAACGAAGGGGAUAAAAAGGAACCAGAAGAGGUGUUACCCACCAGACGAACGUGUACCUGCCUCAAAUACGUCUUGCUCUCCUACCUGCAUCUCCUCUAGCUCUGUUAAUGGAAGGAUACGGCAGCAUGGACACUCGCUAGGCGUUUUCAUACAGGAAGAUCUAGUGAGAUGCUCUGUACUGCAAAAUACCGUUUGGAUCGUGGGGGGCAGUGUAGAUGGGAAAAAAAGAUUUUGGGCAGGAGUCCCUUGCACUGGGAACAGUGGAGACAGACUGAAGAAGAGUGAAUGGCCCCCCACAGCCGUGCUCUCACAGGCUUUCCUGGAUACACCACAAACGAAGGCAGCAGUCCCUGAGCAGCAUAACUUUGGAGCGCAGCAUUUAUGCAUAGGCUGCUCAUGGAUUCAAUUCCACCACAGGAGUAUUCAGAAGAGCCUGGUUUCUUUGGCUGGUUGAGGUCAAAGCUGCACCCUUCAGAACCCUCCUCACUAGCAAUGCCCGGUGCCAAACACUGCACUCGGGGCUUUUCCAGUAUCUGAGCUGAUUUGACAAGUGAAUAGGUUUUUCACUGAUAAAUAGGUCCAGGUACAGGAUAUGUGCAGCUAAUCGAUGACUUAUCUCCACUAAACUAACAUGAUGUAGUGCAUGCUGCCACCUAUGUCUCCUGAUUCAGGUUUCUGUACUGCACCUUCAAUUUGUGGGCAUCCUUUGCUGGAGGCAUCUUGUGAGACUCCACAAGGGACCACAAACAGUCGGGGGUUUUAGGAAGGACCACAAGCUCUGGUAGCCCCACAAGGGAAUUAAGCCAAUCAUUUCUCACCGGCUCAGCACGAGGAUGCCUUGAUGCAGAUGAAGAACCAGCAGUCACACUGGUGAAAUGUAAGUAGUGGCUGGAGCCUCAUCUGUGCUGAGGAUGCUGCCAGCACAGCUGUACCACUGACAGCAGUGGAAUAUUUUGCUCAAGUUCUCUAGAGGAAUCAAAGCCUGUAUUUUCUGUCCCUGGCUGUCUCUUGUUCUGUUGCUCCUCACUCAUUAAAAGGAAAUUCAGCCACACAAA